rnacentral:lncRNA from 1 species
ACAGUAAAAGUAGGUAUAGUAUUGAAGAAUAUUUUUAAAAUUAUGACAUACUUUGUAAUGGAAAUUAAUAUUAAUUUGGGGAAAAAGUACAGAAUUAUUAAAUUCCUGCAUAGUUAAGAGUGUUUCAUUUCAAGAGAAAAUGAGGACUAAGGUGAUGAUUGUAAACCUUUCACAUCUGCUUUAUUAAUUGGAAAGUGACAAGCAGCCAGACUCCUCACUGAAUACAACAAAUGGCAUGUUUGCCUCAAGAAGAAAUUGAAAGGCAUCUGAAACCUCUUUUUUGCUGUGGUCUACCAUGGCUAUCUUAAAAAUAAAUAAAUAAAUAAAAUAAAAAUGGCCAGGCUAGCACUGAUAAAACGUAUAUAUCAGGCAAUCAGCUUAACUGAAUCAUCUAAGUUCCUUCUCUUGGCAGAUUAGUCAGAUGGAACAGUGAUAUUCUGCUUGUGUGACACUUGGAAGGGGAAGGGGAAUGUGUAUCAUUUGGAAUACUGAUGUUUGGACUUUGGAGUAUGUGCAGUGUAUUUCUAGGUAUUCUAAUGGACUAUAAUGUGCAUAUGCUGCUUGAAAUUACCAAUGCUGGGCAGCCUUAUUCUUCAUCAGAAGGAACUUCAUCAGUUCAACAAAAUUACUUUGGGGAAGGAUAUAUAUUUUGUUCAUAUUUCUUCAGUGAUUUUAAUUUGCAAUACUCAAACCCUGUGUUGGGUUGAGCCGAAUCAGAAGUUAAGCACUACACAGCUGCUCACUCGCUUCCACACCUGCAAUGGGGGAAGAAUAAGAGCAAAAGUGAGACAAAGAGAGUUCAAUAAGGUAAAGAAAGAGGAAGAAGAAAGGAAGAAAGAAAAAGGAAGGAAGGAAGGAAGAAGGAAGGAAGGAAAAGAAAAACAAAACAACAUGUAUAAAGACAAUCACUUUCUACCUCCCACAAGUAGACAGAUACAUCUCGGUGAAAUGGUUACCUAACAAAACCCACAAAAUCUCAUUACCAAAGAAAAGUAUACUUUGUGCAUUAACAGUUAGAAAAAGCAAAAAUACAAUCAUCAUGACGAACUGUUCACCAAUAAAAGGUUCUGGCACUUUUGUUUAGGUCUGACA